rnacentral:rRNA from 1 species
CCCUAGUAACGGCGAGUGAAGCGGCAACAGCUCAAAUUUGAAAGCUGGCCUUCUGGCCCGCAUUGUAAUUUGCAGAGGAUGCUUUUGGUGCGGUACCUUCCGAGUUCCUUGGAACAGGACGCCUUAGAGGGUGAGAGCCCCGUACGGUUGGAUGCCUAGCCUCUGUAAAGCUCCUUCGACGAGUCGAGUAGUUUGGGAAUGCUGCUCUAAAUGGGAGGUAAAUUUCUUCUAAAGCUAAAUAUUGGCCAGAGACCGAUAGCGCACAAGUAGAGUGAUCGAAAGAUGAAAAGCACUUUGAAAAGAGGGUUAAAUAGCACGUGAAAUUGUUGAAAGGGAAGGAUUUAUCACCAGACCUUUGCCUGGCGGAUCAUCCGGUGUUCUCACCGGUGCACUUCGCCAGGUCGAGGCCAGCAUCGGUUUCGGCCGGGGGAUAAAGACUUCGGGAACGUGGCUCCCUCCGGGGAGUGUUAUAGCCCGUUGUGUAAUACCCUGGCUGGGACCGAGGAACGCGCUCUGCAAGGAUGCUGGCAUAAUGGUGAUCAAUCACCCGUCUUGAAACACGGACCAAGGAGUCGAACAUUUGUGCGAGUGUUUGGGUAUCAAACCCUCACGCGUAAUGAAAGUGAACGGAGGUGAGAGCCUUAGGGUGCAUCAUCGACCGAUCCUGAUGUCUUCGGAUGGAUUUGAGUAGGAGCAUAACUGUUCGGACCCGAAAGAUGGUGAACUAUGCGUGGAUAGGGUGAAGCCAGAGGAAACUCUGGUGGAGGCUCGCAGCGGUUCUGACGUGCAAAUCGAUCGUCAAAUCUGCGCAUGGGGGCGAAAGACUAAUCGAACCAUCUAGUAGCUGGUUA